CCUACGGGGGGCAGCAGUGGGGAAUAUUGGACAAUGGGAGGAACCCUGAUCCAGCCAUGCCGCGUGUGUGAAGAAGGCCCUCGGGUUGUAAAGCACUUUCAGUGAGGAAGAACGCCUGGUGGUUAAUACCCAUCAGGAAAGACAUCACUCACAGAAGAAGCACCGGCUAACUCCGUGCCAGCAGCCGCGGUAAUACGGAGGGUGCGAGCGUUAAUCGGAAUUACUGGGCGUAAAGCGCGCGUAGGUGGCUUGAUAAGCCGGUUGUGAAAGCCCCGGGCUCAACCUGGGAACGGCAUCCGGAACUGUCAAGCUAGAGUGCAGGAGAGGAAGGUAGAAUUCCCGGUGUAGCGGUGAAAUGCGUAGAGAUCGGGAGGAAUACCAGUGGCGAAGGCGGCCUUCUGGACUGACACUGACACUGAGGUGCGAAAGCGUGGGUAGCAAACAGGAUUAGAUACCCCUGUAGUC
rnacentral:rRNA from 1 species